CUACGGGUUGCAGCGGUGAGGAAUAUUGCACAAUGGGGGGAACCCUGAUGCGGCAACGCCGCGUGGAGGAUGACGCAUUUCGGUGUGUAAACUCCUUUUAUAUGUCAAGAAAAUGACGGUAGCAUAUGAAUAAGCACCGGCUAACUCCGUGCCAGCAGCCGCGGUAAUACGGAGGGUGCAAGCGUUACUCGGAAUCACUGGGCGUAAAGGACGCGUAGGCGGGUUGGAAAGUCAGGUGUGAAAUCCUACAGCUUAACUGUAGAACUGCACUUGAAACUUCUAAUCUAGAGUAUGGGAGGGGGAGAUGGAAUUAGUGGUGUAGGGGUAAAAUCCGUAGAUAUCACUAGGAAUACCUAAAGCGAAGGCGAUCUCCUGGAACAUUACUGACGCUAAGGCGUGAAAGCGUGGGGAGCAAACAGGAUUAGAUACCCUAGUAGUC
rnacentral:rRNA from 1 species